GAAGCACGCUGGCGGCGUGCCUAAUACAUGCCAGUGAAGUUCAGUGGCGGACGGGUGAGUAAUGUAUGGGGACUGCCCGAUAGAGGGGGAUAACUACUGGAAACGGUAGCUAAUACCGCAUACUAUCGGAUAACCCAUAUGGGAUUAGCUAGUAGGUGAGGUAAUGGCCCACCUAGGCGACGAUCCCUAGCUGGUCUGAGAGGAUGAUCAGCCACACUGGGACUGAGACACGGCCCAGACUCCUACGGAGGCAGCAGUGGGGAAUAUUGCACAAUGGGAGCAAGCCUGAUGCAGCCAUGCCGCGUGUAUGAAGAAGGCCCUAGGGUUGUAAAGUACUUUCAGUCGGGAGGCGUUACCGACAGAAGAAGCACCGGCUAACUCCGUGCCAGCAGCCGCGGUAAUAC
rnacentral:rRNA from 1 species